GUGAAGGCUCCUAUCGAGGGAGGGUGAGCCUACCUCUGUUUUUUGCUUUGCUCCAUGCUGCUGCCUGGAAUGUAGAUGCAGUGGCGGAAGCUCUAGCAGCCCCCUUGGACCAUGAGGACAAGUGUCCCACACUAGGGAUGGUGGAGAGUGAGGUAGAAGACAUUUGAGUCCUUGGUCACUUCCUGGAAUUCUGUACAGUUAACUGAUGGUCUUAGCUUCAGGUGCCCAAAAUUCAGAGCCUGUGGAAAUGGCUCAUGUGCUGUCACUUUAAUGGGGAUGCAGCUCAAACGGAUGAAGAAAAGAAGGAAAGAGACCAAAUACAAAAAUGCACAACUUGCAGUUGGAAUCAAGUGUGACUUGUUUUUUACAGGACGGUUUUCCGAGAACCUGCUCUCAGGGAUAGUAAGUCUGGAUUAAGGAGGGAGAAGAGUUUACUCCCAUUGGUUAAAAUUUGCUCCACAGGGCGAGUUUACCCUCAUCUGGGCAUGCGUGAGUGCCAGGGCCAAUUUCCUGGGCAUGUGACCAAUGAAGUCAGCUGACCUCAGAAGGGGGCCUGCUCUUGGAGUUUAAUGCUCUCUUGUUGCUGCCUGGAAAUUCUUAAUAAUUUUAUUUAUGAAUCUGUGCUUUGCAAGUGGAACCUGAGGGACCAUGAAGCAUGGGUUGAGGGGGCUUGGAGUUUCUGCUCAUGGCAGCCUCUUCUCUUCCCUGCCACCCUGGGAUAGUUUCAGCUCCAGCUUUGCGCCCUAAGUCAGUCCUGGGUGGUGCCCUAGACAUGGGAGAGCCUGCACUCAGCUGGUGUGUGCCUGUCUGCCCGAGGGAGUACGACAAAAAAGAGCAGGUAAAACAUACCAAGACAGGUCAAGGGAGAGCCUGGAGAAGAAAGAAAAAAGCUUUUUGAACAAGGGUCUCCUAUUUUCACUUUGUACUGGGCCCUGCAAAGUCUGCAGCUGGUUGUGAGGGUCUGUGUGUGAAUAGUCUGUGUAGCAGGCCUUGGUGUCAAUUGGGAAGCCUGGAGCAGCUUGGCUUGGCGUGGAGCAAGGUGCUACCUACCAGCUUUAAUGUGCCUGAAGUGGGUCAGAGACCACAUGGAGAAAGUCACUCCAGUUGCAACUUGCCUGGAUGAGUGAGACUGAGAAGGUCUGGACCGGCACAAAAGAAAGAGGUGCUGAGAACAGCUCUGCUCUGGCAUCUCUCACAUCAGUUGCACCCUCCCAGCAUAUUUGGCUCUCACACUGUACGAUGUCACGUGGCCUUCAUUUUUGUAACAUCAAGAUGUUUUUGAUGUCUUCCCUGAGAAAGGAGUUCAGUACCUCACGAGAUGAUGGCCAGCCAUCCUUUCUGAGAAGAUUUAAGGUUCAUGUUUGCAGAAUUUCAGAAAGUUCUUCCAGUUCUUGAAAAACCAGAAUGAUUUUUCUUUGUACCAUGUUUCUGUAGUUACAAUUUUGUUGCAGGAAAAGACUGCAAUAAAUUUGGAGGAUUUGGCAGGGGGGAGGCACUGAAUAUUUUCCUUCACUGAAAGCAAUUGAGUCUAUAUAAUCCCUUUCCUAUAAGUGUUCACCAUUUGCGUCUUUCCCUGUCUUCCUGACUUCAAAGGGGGAGGUGGGUACGUUUUCCAAUUUGCAGGCUUUCCUGUCCAUAUUUGAUUUCUCUAGAUAAUUCUUGGGAUGAUUAUGAGAUUUGGUUGGUGGGGAUUGUGAACACCUAUGUGCCAUUUGAAUAACAGCCCUGGGCAUUUCUAGCGGAGCAUGUGACCAAGAAUUUCGAGACAAGUGCUUAAUGGUUGGAGUCCCUUGAUAAGCGUGCCCUUCCCAAACAUUAUAUGGGAUGUGAUUAGAACAGCAUGAUGCAUUUUGUCUCCAGGGUGGUUUUGGCAACAGCAGGAAUCGGAGUUCAUCCCUCCCAGGGUGAAAGAUUGAACCGAAACCCCCAGCCAGAAUUGCCUGUUUCCUCCCUGGUGCAAAUCACUUUCAUAUUUGUAGCAGCUGGCCCUGCUCGGUCCCUGAAGAGGCAAUUGCACAACUUGCUGCACACGUCCUGGAGCCCUACCUUUGUGCAGCCGAUCCCUUCUCAGUAAAAUGUUCUCAGCGCACAAAAGCAGCGGCUGAGGGGAACAGCUCCGGGCAGAGAGGGAGGAGGGAGCUGGCCGGCUGCAGCGCCCCACACCAUCUCCAGUGGAAACGGACGCUGCUCACCCUGCCUAGGAAACCAAUGGAGCGUCCCUAAGAAACCCACACUUCAGCUUGGCUCACCCCAGCUUUCUCCCCCACCUCCAGACCCCCAGGUGAGACUCAAUCCAACCCACCAACCGCGGCGGCAGCCCCAUCAGCCUGCCUGCUGAAGGCGGGCUUGCGGCAAGCUUCGCACCCCCAAAUUCCACCUGACCCCUAGCAAGUUUUGUUUUGUGAAAAGAAAGCCUGUCACCUCCAUUUUCCUUUGUUUCCCAGCAAAUCCUUAUUUUGUGGUAACUUACAACAUUUCCUCUGGGGAUGGGAUUAAAAAAAACCUGGAUAUAAAUGUUUACAGUGCAGAGUCCUUUGGCUUAUUAAUGUGUGAGAUUUCAGAGAUGCCUGCUGACUAACCAGGUUACCCACACGAGGAGAAUGGUGGCCGAAAGGCAAGGGUAUGAACGUGAUGCUGCUGUUUGCGGGCAUCCGAGUCAGCAUUUGUAUUUAAAUAUAUUUCCCUCUAAGAAUUUUUAAUUGGAGAUUUUGUCUCGAGGUGCUCCGAUAAAUCAGAGAAGGAGCCAAACCAAGUUAUUUCGCUUCGUAACCAAGCUUUAUUUCGGGGCUUUCUUUCUCCUGCGGUUCUUGCCCUGAAGCGAUCUGUAAAGCAACCCACUCUGAUACAGUUUGAAAAGUGCAUUUUGUACUUGGCUCUUUCUUUGAUCGAAUUAAUCUGGGCUUUUUUGUAGUUCUAAAUGAGGCCUAUGGGCUGACAAUGUAGCUGUUUAAAGGGGAUUUUAGGGGAUAAUAGCCAAUGCAAAUAGUGCCAUGAGAAUAGCAACUUGCUUUUGCACUUUCAAUCACAUAAUAACUGCAAAGAAAGCUUUUAAAAUGAAUUGAAAUUUUGUGGCAUGCCAUCUGGGAUUAUUUGGGGAAACAGUUCUGAAUACUGCAGUUGGACCAAAGAAUGGUGGUACGUCGUCUCUUAAGCUGACAUGUUUCAGAUGGCCACCUUAUGCUAACUGGUGCAAAGUUGGCUAGCAUUUUUUUUUUUUUAAUUUUAUUAUUUUCUUUCUCCAGGAUUAUCUGCAAAAAUUCUCUUUGAUUGCUGGUAUUUGGGUCUGAAAAACUUUUCCAUUGUUGAAGUGUUCAAUUCAACCCCUUGCAGCUGCUGAUCCCCUCAUUGUUCCCCUCGUUAUGUGUACGCGUCUCAGAUGAAUGUAGCCAAGCCUUUUAGUGCCUUAAUAGGUGUCUACAUAAGGGUCAUUUAUUCUGCCGUACUUGUUUUAACAAAAGUUUAUACACAAACAACAACCACAGCUAAAACAUUCACAUUAAUCAAUUUCCUCCUGAUUGCAGAAUGCAGAAACUGCCUCAAGCCAGAGCCCAGGCAUGAAAAAUGUUUUCUGUGUAUGAUGGUGUAGAGCAGAAAAUAGUUUAAGCAAUUUCGUCAAGGGCAAAAGCAGGGCAAAGCAUAGUUGUGGCAACAUACCUCCUGGCUGAGAUCUCCCAUUCUGGUGUUUCUGAGUCUGUGUAGCUAUGGCAGGUUACUGGGAGGGCAGAGAGCCUCUUAAGAAUUGGAGUGCAUUGAGGUUUGAGCUCUUCCCUAGAUGUUCACCCUGGUUUGGGAGCUGUUCUCUGUGAACUUCUGGUGGGCGUCAGUUACCCACUCUGUAGGAAAGGCUGUGUAGGUGAUAAUCGGAAUCUGGAGAAAUUUGCAUAAGGGGUAUCUGGAACGUGCAAAAAAUAAAUCAUUUCCUUGCAGGUGUGAGAUUCCCUGUGAGAAAAAAGACAACCACAGCCAUCCCCUUCAGUCGGCAAAGGCCACAGAAGGCUGCUUUUAGGAUGAAAUAAGUGAUGAAAAUAAUAGCCACCAAUCAUAAAUGCUGGGAAGGGUGCUGACAUGCUACCUAAACUACUAGACGUGGGGACAGGCUAGUGGGGGUUUCUAAGGGGUCUCGGUGCUGUUCUCUGGUGCUGUGAGGGGAGUGCCCAGCUCAAUGGACAUCAUGUGGGGAUCAAAAAACUCUGGCCACGUGGGUGAGGGAGCAAGGAGUCCCACCCACUCUGCCUCCCUGAGCAAACCCAAAGAGUUUGCCUCAGCUGCCCCACCAGUAAUUCAGAGACACCCACAUUCUGUAGUCCAUCUCAGGAUGGCACCCAGUACCUAUUCAGGGCACUGUCUUCACCCAGAUCCUUCAGGGCAAAAAUAAACACACUAUAUGGUGUCCAUAGGCUAUUCUCCUUUGCCGUAUGGGUUUACCUGCUCAUUGAUCUUUCAAGUUUAAUACUGCACUUGAGCAGUUAAGGAGUCAGGUCCUCAGAUGCUUUGGAGGUUUUGUGCAGGUCAGAAAGCUCUGCGACAUGGUCUCUGGAUGUGGUUCCACUGCUUCCCCCAUCCUCAUCUGAGGGUCUCUUCCUACCCUUUAUUACAUCUCCUGGGCUGAGGACCUUCCCCCUGGAGCCAGCUGGUUCUCUCAACCACUUGGGUUAGAUGGGUGCUUCUCAAGCUUUAAAGAGGGUGUGAAUGACCUGAGAUGUUGUUCAAAUGCACAUUCUGUCUGAUUCGGUUGUUUUGAGAGGGGGCCUGAGAAUCUGCAUUUCGGACAAGCUCCCCGGUGAGGCUGAUGCUGCCAGGGGCUCUAGAUCCUCAUUUACCUGGAGAUGAGAUUUUGCUCUCACUGUCCUAGAGACAAAGUAUCUAUCUGUUAACUCAUGGGAAUAACAAUGACCAUUGAUGCAAUCAUGGAUUUCUUGGCUUUUCAACAGUCGCUUUGGGGAGAUUGGGAAGGGUUUGGAGGCUUAACCUGAGCUUUAUCUUGUACCUAAUUUGACUCUUUGGUUCCAAGCAGGCGACAAAGUAAGUGACAUUUGGUCUCAAUCUUUGAUCAUUUCUAUCUUAGCCACUCAUUUUUAAUAUUACUAAAUAUAUACCAGAUGCCUACUGUAUGCAGGCACCAUGCCAGAUACAGCGAAUACCGGGCUGGCAAAGAGAUGUUAUUCCUGUCCUCAUGUGGUUUAUGCUCUUAGCGUCUCCAGCAGCUGGCCUCAAACCUGGCUGCCCACUGAAAUCACCGGAGGGAGUUUCUAUGACUAACAGAUGCCUGGGCCCCGCUCCCACUCCCAGAGUCAAAUUUAGUUGCUUUGAGAUGGGGCAGGGUCAUCAGCAUUUUUUUCACUUCUAAGAAUUCCUUUUAUUUUAUUUUUUCUCUGCACAAAUGAUGUCUUAAAAGAUAUCACUGAAAAACAAUCAACGGUUAACCAUUUACUUGUUUAGGGAUGUGUAGGUUAUAUCCAUAUUUUGGCGAUUGCAAAUAAAGCUGUUACGAAUACUUAUAAUUCUGGGUUUUGUGUGAACAUCAGUUUUCAUUUUUUUUUCCUGGAUGAGUGUCCAAGAGUACAAUUGUUUGCAUGUUUAGUUUUAUAAGAAACUGCCAGUAUGGUGAUCACUGUUAUUCAUAGUAAUGAUCCUGGAAUAUUGGAUUUUGAAGUGCUUUCUGAGUUAUCAAAAUUUGUUGCAUCAAUGUUAUUACUGGUAGACUCUGCUGUUUCAUAAUUUUCUGCAUAAUUGGUAAUACACGGAUGGUCUCCUUAAGGCGUCUCCUAGUUAGUGUUUGCUCAUCCAGAGCGUGCUCCUUCCCAUCCCCUGGAUAUUCAGGAGUUCAAGUUACCUGGACCAAAGAGAACUCAUGGGCUCCUCCUCAGAUUGGUAACAGAGGGGCUUAUCUGUUGGUCCAGACCACCAGUCAGGUUGGAUUUCGAAGUCCAAGCAUCCAGAAGGGCCAAACCAAAGGGCUCAUUUUUUGUUGGUCAGGCUAAAAUGGCACUCUCCUGGCACCCCCACCUCUAGUCCCGUAGAAAUAAUGACAACUGACUCCUGUAUGGUACUUCCUCUGCACUACACACUAGUCUAAGUGUUUUACGCUUGUUAACUUACUUAAUUCUCCUUACAACCCUACAAAAUACAUCCAAUUCCUAUCCCCACUUUAUUGAUGAGAAAACUGAGGCAUGGAGUCCAUUGCCUUUCACAAAAGUGUGCCAAGGCAUAGGCUUUAUAAUAGGUUUUUUAUUUGAGUGCCCAAUAUUUUUACUGUGAUGUGUCCCAAGUUGUGGUUUCCCCUUGUGAAUCAGUGUAUCUGUUAAGUGACUGUAUCACAAAGCCUGUGGACCUACAUGCAGUAUUCCAGUUUGAUGAAAUGGUAAGUCUCAGUAGGAUGUGUUAAUUGUGGAGCUUCACAGAUGGCAGAACAAGAUCAAGAUGGAGUCAUGUUAUUCUAAAUGCCAUCGUGUGUGUCCACAGUCUUGCUGAAGCCUGCGUACUUUGCCAGUUCCUGGGACUAUGGAGUAAUCUGUGGAAUGGUAUUGUUUUCAUAUAUUCAAGAUUGUGAUUCAACACAAGGCGCCAUUUGUUUGUGUUUACGGGUUGUAAUUUCCCUGCGGGCACCUUUGAAGAUGAAGGACAGGCUUCCUGUAGAAACCCUAAUAUGUUUUAGAGGGAUUAUCUGAAGUUUCUACCUGCUCUCUCCCUCCCCUAGGUUGUCAUGUUUACUAGAGAUGGACUGAUCUAUGGACUCCACAGUGUUUUUUAUUUUAUGGUAGUGUUCACAGGCUCUGAAGGGAUUUGGAUAGCUUUAGAUUUAAUCACAGAUUGCUGUUUCUUGGUGUAGCAGGUAUUCAUUUAAAAAUAAAAUGACACCUCAUUAUCCCACAA
rnacentral:lncRNA from 1 species